ACCACGUCUCGAAGAUGGAACAAUUCAUGCGUGACACGACGAUCGUCGGUCUCUCUGAGGGAUUAAUUCGUACUAUAAUCUUUUACGAGGAAAAAAAUGAUCACCGGGCACGUGAAUGGUGCACCUUGCGAGCCAUUGCUCCCGUCCCAAAAUUACGUAGAAGGGCUAAUCGAACGAUCACCACGAACAACAUAACGUAAGCGCGUAUAAUAGCGUUAAAAUACUACAUUUCUCGAAGCAUCGGCUUCACGGUGCUACAACACACAUUACACAACACAAGCAUCGCACCGAUUUUACACCACAAUAAAAGACAAACAAUAUUCGCCGACCAACGAAGAAGCUAUUCUCUCACUGUACAAGGCAUUGAAAAAUUUGUCUAUAGCUAUCGCGAGAUUGUGAUUCAACGAGCAUCUCAGGUGCAUCAACCUAAUCUUACACGAGUUUGCACAGGAUUACAGAGCAAUCACUCUUUUUGUUUCGACGAGAAACGUGGCGCGUCGCGUAACAACGUUCUUUAUUCGUGGGUCACGCGAAACAUAGGAAUAUCCUUUUGUCCCCGUGAGCAACCACGGCUGCUCCCCGUGAUCAAUAAUCCUGUAAGCCGUAGGUAAGUGAAGCUACGCGCGACGACCGCUAUUUGGACACGAUCUAUUUAUUGCGAACUCGGUGUGGUCACAACUCGGCGAUCAAAACUCUGCCCGUUCGCGGAAUUAACACGUGUUUUAGAUAUGUGUACCUUUUAGAUAUCUAUACCUUGUAAUUCAGGGACAGAGAACGAAGACGGCACGGAUCGAUCCUUUAUACCCUGGGUGCUGCACAAGUCACCGUGAAUCAAUACCUCGCGUUUUCAGUGCGUAGUACUACGCCCGACGAUGAUACUGACAACACUAACAGCCGGCAAGGCUACUAACUGAACAGCAGGCAACGCGUUCCUCCGACUUGGCCGACACGGUAUUGCGCCCACCACCAAGAAUUAUUCCUGUGCGGUGGUGUUCAUGGCUGCAGAAAAUCGAAGUUUUAUUUUAACGGGACCCCUACCCAAUGGCUUUCCUCCGGUUCCGCACGUUUCCGAGCAGUGCUCACUAGGCAUGCCCGAACACUGCAGAAUCCGACAAAUUCACCUCGCCACACGAGUUCAAAAUUUUCUUGCGUUUCCCGUUCAAAAGUUACUCUCAAUGACCGGAAAACGAUCCGGGAAUUCGUUCGAAAUUUCGUGGAGGAUUGUACUUUAAAACAAAAUUUCUAUCGACAUCCGACUAUUCUUCUUACUAGUCAAUUGUGUACACAUACUUGCAAACGUGCACAUUGCAUACGUUUCUGUUUAACGAUGAGACAAAAACCGACUAGAAUUGUUCUUGAAUUAUGAUAAUACAGUAAUUUUGGAUUUCGAAUUUUUGCAUGAUAUUUUGGAUGGUUAUUGGAAAAUAGUAAAUAUGAAAGACGAGAAUUUGUUUCUUGUUUGAAUUUUGUUUGCACGAUUCUAAAAUAUUUGUUACAAAUAUGUAUCAGGAGAAGAAACGAAAAUAAAUAGUAUUUGUUGAUGUUAUGAA